GUGCACUUUUAAGGUUGACAGAGGGCUUUAACAGACCAACACAGAGCAUAAAAGAAGUCUCCAUAAAACCCAGAGAAGAGAUUGUAAAACUCCUGUCUGGAGUCCCAGGUGGAGGAGGUGAA
rnacentral:snoRNA from 1 species